CGGACGGGUGAGUAACGCGUGAGAACAUGCCUUUAGAUUGGGGACAACAGUUGGAAACGACUGCUAAUACCGAAUGUGCCGAAAGGUGAAAGAUUUAUUGUCUAAAGAUUGGCUCGCGUCAGAUUAGGUAGUUGGAGUGGUAACGGCACACCAAGCCUACGAUCUGUACUUGGUCUGAGAGGAUGACCAGGCACACUGGAACUGAGACACGGUCCAGACUCCUACGGGAGGCAGCAGUGGGGAAUUUUCCGCAAUGGGCGCAAGCCUGACGGAGCAAUACCGCGUGAGGGAGGAAGCCUUUUGGGGUGUAAACCUCUUUUAUUAGGGAAGAAUUGAUGACGGUACCUAAUGAAUCAGCAUCGGCUAACUCCGUGCCAGCAGCCGCGGUAAUACGGAGGAUGCAAGCGUUAUCCGGAAUCAUUGGGCGUAAAGCGUCCGUAGGUGGCUUUAUAAGUCUUUUGUCAAAUCGUGCAGCUUAACUGCAUACGGGCGGAGGAAACUAUAGAGCUAGAGUGCGAUAGGGGUUACAGGAAUUCCCAGUGUAGCGGUGAAAUGCGUAGAUAUUGGGAAGAACACCAGCGGCGAAAGCGUGUGACUGGGUCUGCACUGACACUGAGGGACGAAAGCUAGGGGAGUGAAAGGGAUUAGAUACCCCUGUAGUC
rnacentral:rRNA from 1 species